GUGAUGCUGGUGGGAACUUUUGGACUGGCAACCAGAGCCGGCCAGACAGUUAUGUCCUCUCAGCAGUACCACGAGGAAAGGUGUUGUGAAGGAAUGAGGGUAACAUGAUCCCUCUGUAGAUUAGAAUGUGACAUGGCCUGAUUGGAUGAUGAUAAGCAUUGAUGACCAACAGAUCACAUUAGAAUUACGGACGUCCGACAGGCCCGGUCUAGAUUCUGGAAGUUGCUGUUACAGUUGUGAGAAGGUAGAAGAACUUCAUCCA